rnacentral:tRNA from 1 species
AAGACUUUAAGUUAUUAAAACUAAUAUCCUUCAAAGUUAUAAAUAAAGAGUUAUUUCUUUAAGUCUUA